rnacentral:rRNA from 1 species
AUUGAACGCUGGCGGCAGGCUUAACACACGCAAGUCGAGCGGAGAGAGGUAGCUUGCUACUGAUCUUAGCGGCGGACGGGUGAGUAAUGCUUAGGAAUCUGCCUAUUAGUGGGGGACAACAUUUCGAAAGGAAUGCUAAUACCGCAUACGUCCUACGGGAGAAAGCAGGGGAUCUUCGGACCUUGCGCUAAUAGAUGAGCCUAAGUCGGAUUAGUGAGUUGGUGGGGUAAAGGCCUACCAAGGCGACGAUCUGUAGCGGGUCUGAGAGGAUGACCCGGCACACUGGGACUGAGACACGGCACAGACUCCUACGAGCGGCAGCAGUGGGGAAUAUUGGACAAUGGGCGCAAGCCUGAUCCAGCCAUGCCGCAUGUGUGAAGAAGGCCUUAUGGUUGUAAAGCACUUUAAGCGAGGAGGAGGCUACUUUAGUUAAUACCUAGAGAUAGUGGACGUUACUCGCAGAAUAAGCACCGGCUAACUCUGUGCCAGCAGCCGCCGUAAGAC